rnacentral:lncRNA from 13 species
GUUUCAGAAGGGACAAACAUUCAAACCACAGCAGGAGUCACAGGGCAAGAAGUUGAGACUGAGGCUCUUUGAGCUGCUCUGUCGGGUCUCUCAUCUGCAUCAAUGUUGCAAAAUGUUUCCCCGAUCAGGCAUCCUUUGUGCCCUUGAAACUGCCCUGCUACCUCUUGCGGGUCUGCCUGAGACACCAUGAUAUCCUGGCACCCCAUGUAGAUUCAGAGAAGCAGCCAAGGUGCUGUGGACACUGGGGUUCCAGUCUCAGCCCAGCCACCAGAUUGACGCCCUCCUCCUCUCUGGGUCUCCAUGAGGAAAAUGAGACUGCCAGAAUGGAGAUCCUGGGGGCCUUCCAGUGCUGAGAUUCUAAAUCACCACCUGUUGAAGCCAGAUGUCAUCACUGAAAACAGAUGCGUAGCCUGCUUUGAUCUUCCAAGUGACACCUUUGGAAAGAUGAGGACAAGACUCAGAAUUGAUCCAUUUCUCAAGGACACACGGCAUUAUGUGGUAGAACCAGGAUCUGAAUUCACCUCUCUCAGCUCCUUUGCCACCAGGACUCCAAGAUGAAUAUGUCUUUAACUUGGAAAAGACACAGGAACUAAUCAAAGAUGGUGCCUGGCCAGGCAGCUCCCCGUGAAUGAACUCCCAGCUGUUUCCAUGGCAUUCAACAGGUUACUGAGGCCAUCGAUUGCAAUGACAGAUUGUGAAAUAAAUGAUACCACUUUCAUGAUCCUGCCA